rnacentral:tRNA from 1 species
GAGGGUAUAGCUCAGUGGCAGAGUGCUUGCCUGGCAUGCACGAGGUCCUGGGUUCAAUCCCCAGUACCUCCA